ACUGUCAAUAAUUAGUUACACUCACAGAUCUCCUAAUCAAAUAACAAUAUCAGAAAAAAUGAGAAUAGUUAGUUAGUUAGUGGAAGUAGCCAAAAUGGGCAAGUGGAUCUCAGUUCCUAUUACAUAAGGUACUAGGAAGUUUGUGAAAAUGAAAAUUUAUCACAGUGUAAUAUCACUUACUUACUUUAACAGUGAAGGAAAACAUUGUGAUGAAACCUGCACACCUAAAUGUUCUUAGGAUUUUCUUAGGUGUGUAAUCCACCAACCAGCACUAGGCCAGCGUGGUGGACUAAGGCCUAAAAACCCUCUCAAUGGUAGUGAAGGCCAGUGUCCAGCAAGGGGAUAUAUUAUAUGGGCUGAUGAUGAUGACUAGGAAGUUAAAUACUACUACUACUACUACGACAGUACACAUAUAAUCCUAUAUAUUUACAAACUAUACGUUUGUUGGAAAUUGCUAACAUUAUUUCAUAUUUCCAGAUGUCCAGCCACUUGAAAAUAGGUGUAGUAAUGACAAAGCUAUCCAAGUAGCUCCAGCACAGGAACACAAAGGCAAGGCAAGUGUGUAUUGCCACAUCACCCCUUAAUAUAUCUGAAGCAAGUAUAAGUAAACAAUCAGAACUAGCAAAAAAAAAACUGUUGUUCCUGAGGACAAAUUUGACAGUGAUGAGUCAAAUGCACCAGCAACAGAAGGAUCAACUGUUGACUAUGAGUUAUCUCUCUAUAUCUCCACUCCAUCAAAGACUUGUGCACUUCAGACUAUAGCUCUCAAGAAGACUAAAAAGUUGAAAAAAUGAAUGUGUUAACAACUUUAUCUAAAGUGAAAAAUAAACAACAUUUAUAUAUUGGUCUUCCACAAGAAUUAUGUUUCAUAAUAGGCUUGAUUGAGAAACAUACAAAUGUUUCUGAACAAAAUAUUAUAUUAUGUCUGAUGAGAAUAACAUUAAAUAGAACAUUCUCUCAAUUGGCUGAUGAUUUCGAUUUAUCUGUAAGUCAAGCAAGCAAUAUAUAUAUAAUAUAUUUUUCAACAAACUCCCAGAAAUUGCAAAUGUAAUAUCACCCCUUGUUAGACUAUAAAAAAAACAAUACAAUAAAUAUAUAUGCAGGAAGGAUAAUUGAUGUCAACUUGGUGGAAAAUAGAAAGUUUUUAGAUAGUUUGCCACCUACAAAACUCUUUAAUUAAAUAACAAAGUAAUCCUUACUUAUAAAUAGGAAGUUUUGUAAGUAUUUUCACUCUUCAUUCAAAAACUACUGAACAGAUUUUAAUAAGACUUUUAUGCUGGUCUUCUAUGGCUAGCAACUCAUUAUUAUUUUGAUUCUGUUUUCCACAAAUGUGCUAAAUAUGGGCUUAUAUAUAUGAAAAGGAAUAAAUAUUAAUGUUAUGUAACCUUUGUACCUGUAUGUUAAGAAUAAUUUUUAAUAAAACAUAAUUUAAAUUGAAAUAUUAUUUUUAUUAAAUGACAUUCACUUUGUACACAUCAAUAUUUUGUACUCCCUAAAAGGAAAAUAGGUAUAAAGUUUUUUUUAAAUAUUUAACAUUACAUUUUUGUGUAAGAUUAGAAAAUUGUUAUUCUUCCAAAAAGAAACUACAUUAUCUAACAACUGUGCAACUUACUCGGAAUCAAAAUCAAUACCUACUAAUUAUAGUGACCUGAUUAGUUUUUUCAAAGUUGCUGGAUGCUACACAAAAGUAGCAAGUUUUACUUUUAGCACAAUACAUAUGCAUUUGAACUUGUGCAUAAUAUCUUUCUUUAAUUUUUUUUUGCCUUUUUAUUUAUGGAAACAUAGCAUUACUCACUUGCUUGUUUGUAGAUCUAUCAAAAAAACAUAAUUUAUGUUUUUUUUAGCACAGUGGGCAAUACCCUAUUAUUCAUAUUAAUUAUAUACGGCGCGGCGAUGCGAAAAUUCAUUACUGAAUUAUUUAAGAAUGAUAGGCAUAAUAUAAUAUUUUAAUUCGCGAUCUGUUUAUAAUUUUUAAUAUAUGAUUUAAAAAUAAGUUAUCUUUAAUAUUUUUAAUUUUGUGAUUUAUGGGGUGGUCACAGUCAUUAUUAUAAAAAUAGAAAUUUUGAGGAAAUAUAAAUGUUUAAUACAAAUUAUUUUGAUAAUCGAAAUAAAUUCAUAUCAAUCCAAAUUCAUAUUUGAACUAUGAAAAUUGUAUGGUAUGUAAACAGAAAUAUAUUUUAUAAUUAUAAUGACUAUUUAUUCCAUGCAGUAUCGGUUACAGAAGCUUGCACAGCUUCUCUAACCGACACUGCAACUAGAAUAAAGUCUAAUUAAGAAUAAGAAUAAACUUUUCUUCGAAGCUCAAUUCUACAAGGGUAUUCAAUCAGAUAGCUAUCUAUCUGUCGUUCCUGUAUGAAAUUUUGGUAUGUCGAAAUCUUGGAUAAAUCCAGCAAAGCUAAAUAAAGUAUUUACCUAAAAAAUAUGUUUAUGCUUAGUCACGUGUUUAUGUUAUUCGAAAGUAUUAAGCUCCAAGCAGCAUUUAGCUCCAACUAAAUUCAUUAAGAACCAAUUUUUCAAUCGAUGAUUAAAACAACAUUAAUACUGAGAAUGAAUAUUUAUUUAUAAAAUACACAUAUGUUUUGACCACGAAUUUUGCACGAUAAUUUAAAUUAAUAUUCAUUAAUAUUAAUUUAAAUAAAUAUGAAUUAAUCUUCUUCUUCUAUAACCCAUAGUCAACAGUUGAUCCUUCUGUUGCUGGUGCAUUUGACUCAUCACUGUCAAAUUUGUAUAUAGGAGGAUGGAAAAAAUGUAUUUGGUCUAACUUUACGCGAAUGCACAUUAUUUUAUUUAUUUAUUUUUUAAUUUUUUUAAAUAAACUGUAUACCAAUUAAUCGAUCCUUCAGGAUUUAUAAUUGUUUUGUUUUUCACGAUUAAAACCGCGUAGAAAGUUUAGGCAUUAUAGUUGACGCAUGCGCCAUAGAUUAUAC